rnacentral:tRNA from 2 species
GGCUUUGUGGCCUAAUGGUCAAGGCGUGUGACUUCUAUAUUUUCCCGGAUCACAAGACUGCGGGUUCGAGUCCCGCCUGAGCCU